AUGGCAGAGGAACCGACCGCCAAGCGUCCUCAUGGCGAGCCGUCAGACAAGAGCAGCAACCUCGUCGACGUUCACGUCCCCGGCGAGAAGCGCGAUUACACGAGAACCCUCACAGAGGUUGAGCUCCACGGCAAGGAGACGCUGGAGAUCGUCUGCACCAGCAAACCAGACAAGGCCGACGAGGUGAUGAGCAGGCUCAGGAUGAAGGGCGGCGGCUUGUAUGCGAGCUUCAUCGGAGUUGAUGUGGAGUACACCAGCGACGAUGAACCUCCACAGAUGGGGGCAGUCCUGCAGUUGUGCGUCGAGGAAUUCUGCUUGGUGUACCACAUCACAGUAGCCACAAAAUGGCCCAAGCGCCUCAAAGACUUCCUGCAGGAGGAGAAAUUGUACACAUUUGUCGGUUUCAGCAUUGGAGGUGACAAGCGGAUGCUGAACAAGUCUGGUUUGGAGAUCAACCCCAACAACUUCAUUGACAUGCAGCGCAAGUGGAAAGAUCCAAAGACCAGCAAAUACUACGACUCCUUGGCCGAUGUUGCAGGCGGCGUAAUCCGCCCAUUCUACAGCGGCAUGAAGAAGAAGAUGGACAAGGGAGACCACAAACUGUGGGGGACCAGCCCACCGCCAGACAACAUCAUCACGUACGCAGGAAUAGAUGCGUACGCCACGUACAAGUCAUGGAAGACAAUCGACAACAUCGUGACAGUUUGGGAUAUUUCAAAAGAGCAGGAGGCUGACCCCUACUACCACUGCAACUUCGCGGGAUGA
rnacentral:rRNA from 1 species